GACGCAUUUGCGCCGAAGGCAGGAGCGGGGGAACCAAGGUAGGCGCCGUAGCGGCCUGGAGACGGGCCCGUUCGGCUCGGGGUGAAGCCAAGGUGCGGUCAGCCGCAUCCGGCCGGGCAACUCACAGCCCGAACCCGACAGCUCACCUCGUAGGCGUCGGUGAGGAACGAA
rnacentral:sRNA from 2 species